rnacentral:rRNA from 1 species
GGACCCGCACAAGUAGUGGAGCAUGUGGUUUAAUUCGAUGAUACGCGAGGAACCUUACCAGGGCUUAAAUGUAGUAUGACCGGCUUGGAAACAGGCCUUCUCUUCGGAGCAGAUUACAAGGUGCUGCAUGGUUGUCGUCAGCUCGUGCCGUGAGGUGUUAGGUUAAGUCCUGCAACGAGCGCAACCCCUAUUCUUAGUUGCCAGCGGUUCGGCCGGGGACUCUAAGAAGACUGCCAGCGCAAGCUGAGAGGAAGGUGGGGAUGACGUCAAAUCAUCACGGCCCUUACGUCCUGGGCUACACACGUGCUACAAUGGUAGAGACAGAGGGCAGCCACUCCGCGAGGAGGCGCAAA